rnacentral:lncRNA from 1 species
ACAAACUUCAUUAUAUUAAGUAAAAUGUCUUUACAAAAAUAGCUAAGUAAUAGAAACUAAACAACGAUCACAAUGAUGAUGACGACGAUCCCGAUCACAAGCCACAGGUAGGUUGAUCAGAACGAUGACAACCUAGAACUCAUCGAACUCCUCGUAGUAGUCUUCAUCUUGAUGUCCUGGUUCUAAGCAACAAAUACUGCAAGAGUGAGUACACAAGUUAGCUACAUAGCAAAGGUAUAGAAAAAAGUGCAGUGUAAGGCUUACCAAGGAUAUGGAUGAGGCUGAGAAUUUAGAUUUUAAUUUUGUUGGUCAAAAUUUUAUUAUCAAUUACUAAGUAUAAGUAUAUACCAUCCCAAUUAAAUAAAUGAUCAUAAAAAAAUACCAACAAUAACAUGCAUGUAAAGUUUAAUUUAAUUCCAUAAUUUAAUCAUGUGAGGGUCUGAGUCGCUCGUGACCAUGAGCACAAUUGAUAUAUUAGUUUUACACUAUGUAGAGGUUACACGUUUUUACCCACAAGUCGUGUAAAAGUUCAAAGAACUUUGUACCCAUCCAUGCUAUGCUGAUUAGGCACAAUACCACACUUACAAGGUGUGAUUGCAUAGGGACACUAUGAGACCUUUACAAAGUUCCAUUAGCAUGAGAGAAUCCGCUAUGGUUUCAGGCAGAGGUGGUAUAGGUCUUCCUUUGUCUGAAAAGCCAUCAUAGCAAGAUCAACCCAACACUAUAAUAGAACAACUCCGCCCCGCUUGCCCCUUUUCGGUAAGAUUCUCACACACUAACCUCUAUUAAUUAGCCAAGACCAGAGUCUACAUAGUCCUUGUGGUUUCAUUAUUUUCUUGGGUGGUCGCUCCAUGUUCCAAUUAAACCAAGGGACCUUAUUAUGCAUACUAAUACAACCAAUAAUAAAUCAUAAAAACAUGAUCAUGAUUCAUAAGUAUCAUUAUCCCAAAAAACAAGUAGAGCACUAGCAUGUUUACCCAAAAAUAGUAAACCAGGUUUAAACAAGGUAUAAGGAAAACAUAUCUAGGGUAACCUAUUAUGUCCCGUCAGGUUAACCUAACUAUGAAAUGCAUAGGUGAGAACAAUCCAGUAAAUAUUAAUAGGUCACAACAACGUAAUCUUGGAGACACUUGCCUUCUUUAAGAAACUUAUGUUGCUCAAUGCUUCUAUAGGUUGGGCUUUGGGUUCCUCGUAACCUUGCUCUUCUACUUGUAACAAUACAGACAAACAUAAAUUAAAAUAUCAUUACACUAAACAAACAAACUAUGUAAAAAAUUAUAUGCAUUGAGACGAAUCUGUUGGUUCGAGAACCACUAAGAUCAGAGUUAAAACAUGAAAGUUAUGGAGAAAACAAGAUUUGGGAUCUAUUUUGUAUUAAAAUAAAUGUUUAGGGGCCAAAUUAUGAAACCCAGGGACUUGUGCAUAAUUUACAUUAUAAUCUAGUAGACUUUGGUGUAAAUUUGGUCAGCUAGGAUGGCGGGUUUGAUUUUAAAAGAUAUCAUGGUUAAAUCUAUAAAUAUUAGGACUAUUUUGUAAGGAUCUUUAUAUAUAUAUGGGAUGUGGGUUAGUUGUAUAAAAGCUCAGGGACUUAUUUAGAAAAUUCACUAGGCGGCUUUAAGUGGAUUGCUUCAGACUGACAAAUCUUCGAUCUACGCCAAAAAUUAACCCAAUCGAAGGGGAAUGCUUAUUCAAAUUUGAUCCAUCGAUUUACAAAUCCACGACCUAGAUUGACUCAUCCAACUGUUAUGUGAUCGAUCUAAUCCUAUCCAUCCACAGUCGGUAGUGCCCUUGCUCCGCGACGGCGCUACGCCAGCUAACAGGUGGACCGAAUACUCUAGCCAUCAAAAUCGAACAUGGAUGGAUCCUACAUGUAGAGGAGAACAAGGCAAACUCGGUAGAGGAUCUCUUACCAUGAAUUGUGUAGUGCAACAUCUCAACACCGUUGUUUGGUGGCUUGACGAUGUGGAUGCAACUUUGGCAACGAAUUCCCUGUCCUUGGUCGAUCUCUAUGCCCAAGAGACUUCGCAUAUGCCCUGUGUUCUAAUGAACUCCAUCGACACUCUCC